GAUGGCGGAAUCGGUAGACGCGCUGGUCUCAAACACCAGUGGGGCAACCCGUGCCGGUUCGACCCCGGCCCAAGGU
rnacentral:tRNA from 1 species